UCGAACGAGGAGGCUUUUGUCUUCGGACGGGAGAAUUCCUAGUGGCGAACGGGUGAGUAACGCGUUGGUGACCUGCCCCAAAGAAGGGGAUAACAGCUCGAAAGGACUGCUAAUACCCUAUGUGAUCAGUUGGAUUAGACGCCUACUGAUUAAAGGAGUAAUCCACUUUGGGAGGGACCUGCGUCCCAUCAGCUAGUUGGUAGGGUAACGGCCUACCAAGGCAAUGACGGGUAGGGGACCUGAGAGGGUGACCCCCCACAAUGGCACUGAAACACGGGCCAUACACCUGCGGGUGGCAGCAGUAGGGAAUAUUGGACAAUGGGCGAAAGCCUGAUCCAGCAACACCGCGUGCACGAUGACGGCCUUCGGGUUGUAAAGUGCUUUUAGAGGAGAUGAGAAAGGACAGUAUCCUCUGAAUAAGCCUCGGCGGACUACGUGCCAGCAGCCGCGGUAAAACGUAGGAGGCAAGCGUUAUCCGGAUUUAUUGGGCGUAAAGCGUGUGCAGGCGGUCUAGCAAGUUGGAUGUGAAAUCUCCCGGCUUAACUGGGAGAGGUCGUUCAAUACUGCUAGACUAGAGAAUGGGAGAGGGAGGUGGAAUUCCGGGGUGUAGUGGUGAAAUGCGUAGAUAUCCGGAGGAACACCAGUGGCGAAAGCGGCCUCCUAGACCAUUUCUGACGCUAAGACACGAAAGCUAGGGUAGCAAACGGGAUUAGAGACCCCGGUAGUCCUAGCUGUAAACGAUGUAGACUUGGUGUUGGCGGAGUUAAAUCUGCCAGUACCGUAGCUAACGCGAUAAGUCUACCGCCUGGGGACUGCGAUCGCAAGAUUAAAACUCAAGGAAUUGACGGGGACCCGCACAAGCA
rnacentral:rRNA from 1 species